rnacentral:rRNA from 1 species
GAUGAACGCUGGCGGCGUGCCUAAUACAUGCAAGUCGAGCGAACAGACGAGGAGCUUGCUCCUCUGACGUUAGCGGCGGACGGGUGAGUAACACGUGGAUAACCGACCUAUAAGACUGGGAUAACUUCGGGAAACCGGAGCUAAUACCGGAUAAUAUAUUGAACGGCAUGGUUCAAUAGUGAAAGACGGUUUUGCUGUCACUUAUAGAUGGAUCCGCGCCGCAUUAGCUAGUUGGUAAGGUAACGGCUUACCAAGGCGACGAUGCGUAGCCGACCUGAGAGGGUGAUCGGCCACACUGGAACUGAGACACGGUCCAGACUCCUACGGGAGGCAGCAGUAGGGAAUCUUCCGCAAUGGGCGAAAGCCUGACGGAGCAACGCCGCGUGAGUGAUGAAGGUCUUCGGAUCGUAAAACUCUGUUAUUAGGGAAGAACAAAUGUGUAAGUAACUAUGCCCGUCUUGACGGUACCUAAACAGAAAGCCCCGGCUAACUACGUG